AUUGAACGCUGGCGGCAGGCUUAACACAUGCAAGUCGAGCGAGCGGCGGACGGGUGAGUAAUGUCUGGGCCACUGCCUGAUGGAUGGGGAUAACUACUGGACACUGUAGCUACUACCGCAUACCAUCAGAUGUGCCCAGCUGGGAUUAGCUAGUAGGUGGGGUAAUGGCUCACCUAGGCGACGAUCCCUAGCUGGUCUGAGAGGAUGACCAGCCACACUGGAACUGAGACACGGUCCAGACUCCUACGGGAGGCAGCAGUGGGGAAUAUUGGACAAGGGGCGAAAGCCGGAUGCAGCCAUGCCGCGUGUGUGAAGAAGGCCUUCGGGUUGUAAAGCACUUUAAGCUAGGAGGCGUUACUCGCAGAAGAAGCACCGGCUAACUCCGUGCCAGCAGCCGCGGUAAUUC
rnacentral:rRNA from 1 species